UUUAAUUCUAUGCACCAUCACCGCUACGAAUAUCUCCAUAUUUAUUGUAAUGUGAAGUAUCUUUGGGUGCAGUCCCAUGAUUUCGGCAAGUUGCUUUUGACUGGCUUGAGAAAAAUUGUGGCUCUUACGACACACAGCCCGUUUCCAAAGCGUCUACCAGUGCUCAAAGCCUUCCAUUGCCAUUCAAAUUUAGACCAAUAAUAAAUUGAAAUUCCAUAUUAUCGUGGUGGCAGACAAGGUACCAAGCUUUGGGUGAAGUGAGAGCCCCAGUUUUUGUCAAACAUUUCAUUGCAAGGUUAAGAUUGCCUCUGGUUGUGGUCAUUCAGACAACUGCAAAAGGGCACUUCCUGUGUGCUAGGCGACUUUUGGUCGCCUGACGCUGGAUGUCCUCUUGCACUGGACAAGGACAACCAGUGUCAAUAAAAUCCCCUUAGCAAAGCAAUGCUUUCCUAUGGGGAGAUUGUAUUGCACUUGACACACAUUAGUGCCCCUCCUUCGGGUGACUUUGCAUGCGCGCUUUGAGCCAGCAAAGGAAAGGAGUGUGCAUUUGGACUCCUACCACCAUAUCACUUUCACCCUGCACAUCCAGACUCCUACCACCAUGAC